rnacentral:sRNA from 1 species
AGACCCCUGCGGUGUUCGUGAGGUGAACAACCUCCUGAGCCGAUAACUUUUGAACCUGGGAACCGAGCUCUGAUUGUGGAGUGCCACCCCCUUUGCGGGGUUGCCAGAAACAAUUAUUCA